rnacentral:ncRNA from 2 species
GGGAAACGCUAGGAGUGUCUGGUUUAAUUUCCAGACUGAGAUAACAUCCUUAGAACCUGUUCGGCUCACACCGGCGUAGGAAAGCAAACUAUAGAGAAU